rnacentral:rRNA from 1 species
UACAGAGGGUGCGAGCGUUAAUCGGAAUUACUGGGCGUAAAGCGCACGUAGGCGGCUUGGUAUGUCGGGUGUGAAAUCCCCGGGCUCAACCUGGGAACUGCAUCCGAAACUGCCUUGCUAGAGUAUGGGAGAGGGAAGUGGAAUUUCCGGUGUAGCGGUGAAAUGCGUAGAUAUCGGAAGGAACAUCAGUGGCGAAGGCGGCUUCCUGGACCAAUACUGACGCUCAGGUGCGAAAGCGUGGGGAGCAAACAGG